AUAACUAGGGAUACAGAAAAGCUUUGCCCAGUCAAACUAAUUCAGAUAGAACCCUCAUACUAUUUAGUCAGUAAGCACAAGAUGAGGUUUCACAGCGUUCUAUUCUUCUUGUACAAGGUCAGAAAAAGAAGAGAGGAGAAAGGGCCUUUCGUGGUGCAAAAGGACAUUGAAGAGUUCCUGCAGCGAAUCAUCUGAGCUAGACUGGUGCAGGCAACAUUCUCGGUUCUCCUCAGAAACAAUGGUUAAUGCAGCUUCAACUUUUUAAACUCCCUGGACUAAUGGGAGAGAACGUCAGGGGCGAAAUACAUCACGUUGAUGAGACAGGGUGAGAGAAGCAAGGCUGCUGCAGCUCUGCUCCCCAGAUCCAACCAGUGGCGAGGCGAGGAUGUAUUCCCACAAGCACCCCCACACACCACAUGUACACAGCUGGCCACACUCGCAUACGGGCACUCGCUCCCGGUGCUGGCACCACAGGCACACAGGUCUCUCGCUCCUGGUCCCACCCCAGUGGCUGGCACUUGGUUUCACUCUUGUCUCUCCAGCUGGUGGCCCCCAGGCUUGCGGGUGCUACGGCCCACAAUCCCAGGCCAGCUGCUGGCACCAAGACUCUCUCUCACUCCAGUUGCUGGCACAGUGGACACACAGACCCCUGUGACCCACAGUCCCUCUCCUGUGGCCAGCACAUAAAUCCACUCACUCAGGUCCCUCCUGUUGCUCGUGCCACAGACACCUGGGCCCUCUGAUGCACAGUCCUGGCUCCAGUUGCUGGCACUUAGACACACACCACCCCCACCACCACCUCCACCACCUCCCCACAGGGAACAGAGUGCCCUUCACCCAGGAAAGAGUUAGAAAGUAGUUUAAUAUGAAGAUUCAAUAGACUGCACUGAUUAGGAACAGGGCAUGGCCAGACAAAUAUAACAAUUAGCAAACUAUUUAUACCUAACUGGCCUUAUCCCCUUACCUCUCUAUUUUCCCUACACAUACUCCUCCCUAAAUCACCUAAAUUCAUCCUUUCCUCCACCUUUAGUUCCUGCCCUAAACAUCCCAUAAGAAGCCUGUUCCCCUGCAUCCCAAAGCGUAUCUCACAGCGCUACGCAGUAACUCCCCUCAGUCCAAAAGGUGCUUUAGUGUUGCUCGACAGGAUGGGUGUCCUGCCUGGACAAUGGGUCUGAGGCUCUCCUGGGACAGCCCUGGGAGCGGCCUGGACAGGAUAUCGCCUUGUGAGUCCCUGACUGCACUGUCCCACCUGCCUCUGUGCCUCUGGGCUUGUGGGCCUUUGAUGGGCUGAUGGCUCCUGUGACAGGCCCAGGAGUUGCUGGGGCAGGGUAUUAUUUUA